UACUAGAGUAGCACUCGCAUAUCAAUAAGCGGAGGAAAAGAAACUAACAAGGAUUCCCCCUAGUAACGGCGAGUGAAGCGGGAAGAGCUCAAAUUUGAAGUCUUAAAGGGUUUCCCUUUACGAAUUGUAGUUUAAAGAAGUGUUUUCUGUUGAGGUUUUGGUAAAAGUUCUUUGGAAUAGGACAUCAUAGAGGGUGAGAAUCCCGUAUUUGACCUUUACUUUCAACUUUGUGAUACACUUUCAAAGAGUCGGAUUGUUUGGGAAUGCAGUCCAAAAUGGGUGGUAAAUUUCAUCUAAAGCUAAAUAUUGGCGAGAGACCGAUAGCGAACAAGUACCGUGAGGGAAAGAUGAAAAGAACUUUGAAAAGAGAGUUAAACAGUACGUGAAAUUGUCAAAAGGGAAGCGUUUGACACCAGUGUUGUUUUUCUGAAAAUCAAUUAAAGAACUGUUUAUGCUAAGUUGUUUAGACUUUAUCAGCUAACUGUUUAGUUUUGAGCUUUUCUUUAAUGCACUUUUCAGUUAACAAGUCAACAUCAAUUUCUUUUGCUGUAAAAAAGCUUGAGGAAGGUGGCUUGAGAUUCGUCUUAAGUGUUUAUAGCCUCUUGCCUAUGCAGUCGGAGAGAUUGAGGUCUGCAGCGUAGAUCCUUCGGGGCUAAAUGCAUUUGUGCUAAGUUAUAGCAUUUUAUAGACAACCUGUUGACUAUGAUUUGUCUUGUAGCUUACUCGCUUAUGUUAUUUUACCUACGCUUAGGAUGUUGAACUCUAUCACACACA
rnacentral:rRNA from 1 species